rnacentral:rRNA from 1 species
UACGUAGGGUCCGAGCGUUGUCCGGAAUUAUUGGGCGUAAAGGGCUCGUAGGUGGUUUGUCGCGUCGGGAGUGAAAUCCCUGGGCUUAACCCAGGGCCUGCUUUCGAUACGGGCAGACUAGAGGCAUUCAGGGGAGAACGGAAUUCCUGGUGUAGCGGUGAAAUGCGCAGAUAUCAGGAGGAACACCGGUGGCGAAGGCGGCAUCCUGGACCGACACUGACGCUGAUGAGCGAAAGCCAGGGGAGCAAACGGG